CAGGAGCAGAGGAGUCAGCCUGUUCAAGGGUUAUGAUCCUAAAAGGAAUACAAUAAUUAUCAUAAAUAUUAACAUAUAGAUGAAGUUUGAUAGAUGCAGGGUUUGGUUUAAAAAAGGGGGCACAAGGAGCUGACUCUUAUGCAUAUCAGCCCCCAAGUAUAGCUCAAGUGACCUUAACAGGUCCCAUUGUGCUAAGAAGAAAUAAGUCCGUUUCCACAAUAUGAUCUUGAACAUAUACACACCAUUUUCAAAGAGAGUGUCAGGAACUGCAUCAAACUAGAACAUUAGGAACAUCUUUAUUAUAGAUCCAGAGGAAUUAUGGAAUCAACUUAAAGAUGUUAUUAAAGUUGAAUGUGGAAUUGCAUCAAGAAAAACAUCAGGAACCUCAUUGAUAGAGAGCCAGAGGAAUUAUGGAAUCAAUUUAAAGAUGUUAUUAAAAAUGAAUGUGGAAAAAAUGACUUCAAAAAUGAAGAAAGAGAAGAAAGCAAAACUGAUGUCAGAAACCCUCUCCCCACAGAAUUCUCAAGAAAAGAAGCCAAAGCCAAGAAAAACAAAAAUUUCAGAUGAGAACCUCUCAGUGCUGUUAGAAGAGAUAAGAAGCACUAUUACAAAAACAUGUAAAUAUUUUAAAUAUGGAACAGACAUGGAAAAACAAGGAAAGUCUUUCAAAAAUGUCUGAACUCAAAAGGAGGGUCCAACUUCAAAUCUGUAUGGUAAGAUAUGCCAAUGGACAUAGUAGAUAAUAAUUGAUUCAAAGAUGGAAGGUAUUAGUGCAAUAAUGCAGAGUAGAAAUAUUAAUAUACAAAAUACUUAAAAGAUGAAUUCCCUGCUUAGAAGAUCUCUAGGAUUAGAAGAUGAAGUUAUUUUUUUUAUAUAAUAGUAUUACUUUUUUUAAAAAAGGAACAUUAAAAUUUAAUAGAAAUUAAUAGAAAGAAAAAGAAACAGAAAAGAAAGAAAUCAGAAAGAAAUCUAAAGUACAAGAAAGGGAAAAACAGAGAAAGAAAGAGAAAGAAAGAGAAAGAAAGAAAGAAAGAAAGAAAGAAAGAAAGAAAGAAAGAAAGAAGUACCUUCCAAUCUUUUUCAUAGAAGUUAUAAGCACAAUUAUAGAUUUACAUAUUACUCAUAUGUACUCAUAUGUACAUUACAUAUUUACAACAGAACUCUCUUUUUUCUAUAACCUAUUCUGUCUAAUCAUCAACACCAUAAAUUCAUUUUUAUUUUUAUGUUUUGUUUUACACUAAAAAUCCACUAGGAGUUAACGAUCAGCAAUAAACAUAGAUAUUGUCUUUUCUGUGAUUAAGAAAUCAACUUAGCCAUCUCAGCAAGUUUCAUUAUCUUUACCAACCUUUCCUCCAUUGUGGAUAGUGGCAAAUCUUUCCAUUUUUGCAUAUAAAAUAAUCUUGCUGCAGUUAUCUUAUUCAAAAACAAAGUUCCAUGACUUUUUAAAACUAUUUGUCCAUCUAUGCCAAAAGAAAAACCUCUAGUCUCAAUUAUAUAUUAAUCUUUAAAAUCAAUGUGUGUAAUGAAUCCAAAAUUUUCUAGGUUUUUCACAUGUCCCCUAAACAUUAUAAAAUGACCCUUCUGCUUGUUCAACUUUCCAACAUAAAUUUGAAGUGCCCUUAUAUAUUCUAAACAAUUUCUCUCAUAAAUAUAACAGUGUAUCAUUUUAUAAAAAAAUAUUUUCAAGAUAAUAACAGUGUAAAUUUUAAUUGUUUCAACUAUAUGAUUUCCCCUUGUUCCAUCUGAAUAUUACAACAAACUUCUUUUUGUUUCAAAUAUCAAUAAAAGUACAUUUUAGCAAUUA